AAAUUACUGGAGCUCGAUUUGAAUAGGUCGUAAGUAACAAAAUUACGUAAUUUGAGUUUAUUAUUUUAAAUGAUAGUAAGCACACUAAAUAUUAUGUGAAAAAAGAUUGAUCUUAUUAUUUUAUUCCAUUAUUUUUUAAAAAAUAUAAAAUAUUUCGUCCUAACUGACAAAAUAUUCAGAAUUCCGAACCCCUGUCCAUUCGACCUAAUGUGCGAAAAGGUCGUACUACCGGAAAAUGCCUAAACAUAAAAAAGUGUGCAUUCGACCUUCUGUCAUCAGAGGGUCGAAUGAACAGCAGCUGUCAAACUGACAAAAAUUGCACUUACGACCUGCAUUGUUUUUCUAGCUUUUUCGAAAUUUUUAUUUAAUUAUUCAAUAAUUUUCAGUGGCAAUAUCACUUCAGUAAAGAAUACGACAGCGCUGAAUGGCACAUUGAGUGAAGUAUUUCCCCUAUAUAGAUCAACAGAUCCAGAGCGUCUUCAAUGGUCCCUGGAAUGGUGUAAGUUAUUGUCGCUUGGACGGAACAGCGGGUGCUUGACAUGAUACAGAUAAACAACCACUGCAAACCCAAAACGACUGCCAUCGAUUAAUACCCUGGAAGUGACUGUUGUAUGAACUCGAUAAGUUAUGGUAGAUCGUCUACAGCACGAUGCAGACGGAAGUAUAAGAACCCGCAGCAUUGGGAAGUUUUAGCCAAGCGAUUCAAGAAGAUACCGAAGCCAGACAUGGACCCGAGAGAUCGAAAUCUUUUUACAAACAGACGUCUGUGAGAGUAAGCUGGCCAGCGAGCUGGCCAGCAUAAAUUCGUGCAGUGGACCAUAUCAUUGAAGACAUUACAUUUUAGUGCACUGAUAUGUACUUUUUUCCAAUAUAUUUACAUGCAAAACUUUU